GACGAACGCUGGCGGCGUGCUUAACACAUGCAAGUCGAACGGAAAGGCCCUGCUUGCAGGGUACUCGAGUGGCGAACGGGUGAGUAACACGUGGGUGAUCUGCCCUGCACUUCGGGAUAAGCCUGGGAAACUGGGUCUAAUACCGGAUAUGACCUUCCAUGUAGUGUGGGGGGUGGAAAGAUUUAUCGGUGUGGGAUGAGCCCGCGGCCUAUCAGCUUGUUGGUGGGGUAAUGGCCUACCAAGGCGUCGACGGGUAGCCGACCUGAGAGGGUGGACGGCCACAUUGGGACUGAGAUACGGCCCAGACUCCUACGGGAGGCAGCAGUGGGGAAUAUUGCACAAUGGGCGGAAGCCUUAUGCAGCGACGCCGCGUGGGGGAUGACGGCCUUCGGGUUGUAAACCUCUUUCGACAGGGACGAAGCUUCGGUGACGGUACCUGUAGAAGAAGCACCGGCUAACUACGUG
rnacentral:rRNA from 1 species